AGGUGGGUUAAGAAUACUUCACUGAAAUGAUGCAGAAGAUGCCAGAUCCACAAACGAGCCCUGCAAACAACUCUCAGUUGCUGUGGAUACCCAUCCUCUCCCUGCACUUUUUUUUUUGUUUAGGGGGAGGUGCCACCAAACUCAUUCUGGUCCCAAAUUGUUUUGUGAAACAAGUGAAACUUCUAGAGGAUUGAAGGAGACCUGGUUUCCAGUGGGUGCUCUCCUCACUGCUGCUGCAGUCUAUGCAACAGGUAGGUUGGUGUGACGCCUAGCUCAUCUCUUUGUUGUUGAACCUAAGUCCAAGGACAAUGAGAUGUGGGAGGGGAGUGUCCUGGACGGGACAGGACAGUGGAGACACACUGCCUGGUUCACACCUAAUAUCUUCAUCAGCAUCAACAGCUUCUUCACCCUUUCUCUAACAUUCACUAAAAGCACAGGGCUUUACAGGAUCAUCUUGAAGUUGAGGGCUUUGACCCAUCAGGACAGCAACCCAAACAAAGAGGAACAUCUUUGGACACUAAACUUGUCAACUCCUGCUCACCCACUUGCUGGGCUUUAUGAAUCUACUAUGAAGUUUACCUAAGUCCUGGUGGUUGAAGGUGAAGCUAAUUCAGGACAAAAGUUUACUAAGAGAAAUUGCAGUGGAUCUUGUAGUGUGCUUCUGACUAGACAAGGGAGGAGGGCGAGGGUGGGAGCUACAAACCUGCUGCAGAGCUCCAGUUCUUUGUUUGCUCCGAGAACUUGAACAAAAGGAAAAGUCUGAAGAACUCUUUAUCUGCAUCUCUAUCUGGAAUCAGCCCUUUUCCUCCAAGCCCUUCUGUGGUUGUCUUCUUCAAAAACUUCUCUAGCAUGAGGGACCUCAAUAUCAUUGUUACCUGCAAGUCACAAAGGGGCUUGACUCCAGAAGUUUCUUGUUUGAGAGAGCUUCUCAUGGAUCUGUUAAAAAUGCAAGAGACAAAUGGUGAAUUUGGUUUCCAAAUACGUUACCUUUAAGUGCUCAUUAUAAAAUAUGAAGAUCUGGGUUCUGAGCCCAGGAUUUUUAAAAUCGUGCUUUGGAUUGAACUGGUUCUGCACAGUUGGAUUAUACAGCGUUUUGGCUUUGGGAUCUGCCGAACACUUCCACUUGGAUUAAAGAAUAAGCUUCACCCUAGUGACAAUGUGACAUUACUAAGGUGAUUCAGUUUUUCCAGUUUGGCUGGUUAAGGGGUUGGUGACAUCAUGACUUCUCACGAAAGGCAAGAAGAUGCUUAAAGACUUCUGCAUAUAGAAACUCCGGCUUGGCUGCAAUGAACAAAGAGGGGGGCACUCUUCCAAAUCACCAGAGCUAGUGGAGAACAAGAUGUUUCACACUGUUAUCCUUGGAGGAGAAAUCUACUGAACUACACUGUAAUUGCCCAUUGGAACAUUAGAACAAUAACUAUGCUAGGAACAAAAUUUAUGUGACCACAAGGACGUGUUGAAUGGAAUGGGAAGUGAGAGAAGAUUUCAUCAUCUGGCUAUGGGGGAUAUCACUAGAUGAAUUAAGAUGUAUUAUUAAUGGAAUAUGGAAAUGUGAUGCAUUUAUUUUUCAGGUGUUUUUUUAUUUUUUAUUUUCCAUUUUUCUUUUUCUUUGUAAGUUGUGAAUUUUGGCACUUGUUUUCAAUCUAUUUAUUUUACACAAAUUUUGUGAUCACUAAUAUGAUUUUUGUUUGCACUAGGACUAGGUCAUUUUAUAGUACUAAUCACAAUAUGCUGUAAAUAUUACUAUGCACGCUGCAUAUUUUUCACUACUAUAUAAUUUUUCAUAAUUUAUUUAUUUUAAGGUAUUCAAUUAUGUAUUUCACCAU